rnacentral:rRNA from 1 species
UCCCACCCCCUUUGAGGGGUUAAGGCUCCCAGUAGACGACUGGGUUGAUAGGCCGGAUCUGGAAGCACCGUGAGGUGUGGAGGUGACCGGUACUAAUAGGCCGAGGGCUUGUCCU